rnacentral:rRNA from 1 species
CCUACGGGAGGCAGCAGUGGGGAAUAUUGCACAAUGGGGGAAACCCUGAUGCAGCGACGCCGCGUGAGUGAAGAAGUAUUUCGGUACGUAAAGCUCUAUCAGCAGGGAAGAAAAUGACGGUACCUGACUAAGAAGCCCCGGCUAACUACGUGCCAGCAGCCGCGGUAAUACGUAGGGGGCAAGCGUUAUCCGGAUUUACUGGGUGUAAAGGGAGCGUAGACGGCAGCGCAAGUCUGGAGUGAAAUCCCAUGGCUUAACCAUGGAACUGCUUUGGAAACUGUGCAGCUAGAGUGCAGGAGAGGUAAGCGGAAUUCCUGGUGUAGCGGUGAAAUGCGUAGAUAUUAGGAGGAACACCAGUGGCAAAGGCGGCUUACUGGACUGUAACUGACGUUGAGGCUCGAAAGCGUGGGGAGCAAACAGGAUUAGAUACCCGAGUAGUC